rnacentral:rRNA from 1 species
GCUAACCAUGCAAGUCGAACGCUCACCUUCGGGUGGGAGUGGCAGACGGGUGAGUAACACGUGGGAACGUACCCUUUGGUUCGGGACAACUCUGGGAAACUGGAGCUAAUACCGGAUACGCCCUUUUGGGGAAAGGUUUACUGCCGAAGGAUCGGCCCGCGUCUGAUUAGCUAGUUGGUGGGGUAACGGCCUACCAAGGCGACGAUCAGUAGCUGGUCUGAGAGGAUGAUCAGCCACACUGGGACUGAGACACGGCCCAGACUCCUACGGGAGGCAGCAGUGGGGAAUAUUGGACAAUGGGCGCAAGCCUGAUCCAGCCAUGCCGCGUGAGUGAUGAAGGCCUUAGGGUUGUAAAGCUCUUUUAUCCGGGACGAUAAUGACGGUACCGGAGGAAUAAGCCCCGGCUAACUUCGUGCCAGCAGCCGCGGUAAUACGAAGGGGGCUAGCGUUGCUCGGAAUCACUGGGCGUAAAGGGCGCGUAGGCGGCGUUUUAAGUCGGGGGUGAAAGCCUGUGGCUCAACCACAGAAUGGCCUUCGAUACUGGGACGCUUGAGUCUGGUAGAGGUUGGUGGAACUGCGAGUGUAGAGGUGAAAUUCGUAGAUAUUCGCAAGAACACCGGUGGCGAAGGCGGCCAACUGGACCGGCACUGACGCUGAGGCGCGAAAGCGUGGGGAGCAAACAGGAUUAGAUACUCUGGUAGUCCACGCUGUAAACGAUGAAUGCUAGCUGUUGGGAUGCAU